UACGGAGGGUGCAAGCGUUGUUCGGAAUUACUGGGCGUAAAGCGCGUGUAGGCGGCCGAUUAAGUCUGGUGUGAAAGCCCGGGGCUCACCCCCGGAAGUGCGCUGGAAACUGGUCGGCUAGAGUAUGGGAGAGGAAAGUGGAAUUCCUGGUGUAGCGGUGAAAUGCGCAGAUAUCAGGAGGAACACCGGUGGCGAAGGCGGGUCUCUGGGCCGAUACUGACGCUGAGGAGCGAAAGCGUGGGGAGCGAACAGG
rnacentral:rRNA from 1 species